AACGAACGCUGGCGGCAUGCCUAACACAUGCAAGUCGAACGAGACCUUCGGGUCUAGUGGCGCACGGGUGCGUAACGCGUGGGAACCUGCCCUUAGGUUCGGAAUAACUCCCCGAAAGGGGUGCUAAUACCGGAUAAUGUCUUCGGACCAAAGAUUUAUCGCCUUUGGAUGGGCCCGCGUUGGAUUAGCUAGUUGGUAGGGUAAAAGCCUACCAAGGCGACGAUCCAUAGCUGGUCUGAGAGGAUGAUCAGCCACACUGGGACUGAGACACGGCCCCGACCCCUAGGGGGGGCAGCAGGGGGAAAAAUUGGACAUGGGGCGAAAGCCUGACCCAGCAAUGCCGGGUGAGUGAUGAAGGCCUUAGGGUUUAAAAGCUCUUUUCCCCGGGAUAAAAAUGACGGUACCGGGAAAAUACGCCCCGGCUAACCCCGU
rnacentral:rRNA from 1 species